rnacentral:rRNA from 1 species
GACGAACGCUGGCGGCGUGCUUAACACAUGCAAGUCGAACGGAAAGGCCCUGCUUUUGUGGGGUGCUCGAGUGGCGAACGGGUGAGUAACCCGUGAGUAACCUGCCCUUGACUUUGGGAUAACUUCAGGAAACUGGGGCUAAUACCGGAUAGGAGCUCCUGCUGCAUGGUGGGGGUUGGAAAGUUUCGGCGGUUGGGGAUGGACUCGCGGCUUAUCAGCUUGUUGGUGGGGUAGUGGCUUACCAAGGCUUUGACGGGUAGCCGGCCUGAGAGGGUGACCGGCCACAUUGGGACUGAGAUACGGCACAGACUACUACGGGAGGCAGCAGUGGAGAAUAGUACACAAGGGGCGGAAGCCUGAUGCAGCAACGCCGCGUGCGGGAUGACGGCCUGCGGGUUGUAAUCCGCUUUCGCCUGUGACGAAGCGUGAGUGACGGUAAUGGGUAAAGAAGCACCGGCUAACUACGUG